UUGGCCGGGCGACGGUUGUCCCGGUUUAAGCGUGUAGGCUGGUUUUCCAGGCAAAUCCGGAAAACUAAGGCUGAGGCGUGAUGACGAGGCACUACGGUGCUGAAGCAACAAAUGCCCUGCUUCCAGGAAAAGCCUCUAAGCAUCAGGUAACAUCAAAUCGUACCCCAAACCGACACAGGUGGUCAGGUAGAGAAUACCAAGGCGCUUGAGAGAACUCGGGUGAAGGAACUAGGCAAAAUGGUGCCGUAACUUCGGGAGAAGGCACGCUGAUAUGUAGGUGAAGUCCCUCGCGGAUGGAGCUGAAAUCAGUCGAAGAUACCAGCUGGCUGCAACUGUUUAUUAAAAACACAGCACUGUGCAAACACGAAAGUGGACGUAUACGGUGUGACGCCUGCCCGGUGCCGGAAGGUUAAUUGAUGGGGUCAGCGCAAGCGAAGCUCUUGAUCGAAGCCCCGGUAAACGGCGGCCGUAACUAUAACGGUCCUAAGGUAGCGAAAUUCCUUGUCGGGUAAGUUCCGACCUGCACGAAUGGCGUAAUGAUGGCCAGGCUGUCUCCACCCGAGACUCAGUGAAAUUGAACUCGCUGUGAAGAUGCAGUGUACCCGCGGCAAGACGGAAAGACCCCGUGAACCUUUACUAUAGCUUGACACUGAACAUUGAGCCUUGAUGUGUAGGAUAGGUGGGAGGCUUUGAAGUGUGGACGCCAGUCUGCAUGGAGCCGACCUUGAAAUACCACCCUUUAAUGUUUGAUGUUCUAACGUUGACCCGUAAUCCGGGUUGCGGACAGUGUCUGGUGGGUAGUUUGACUGGGGCGGUCUCCUCCUAAAGAGUAACGGAGGAGCACGAAGGUUGGCUAAUCCUGGUCGGACAUCAGGAGGUUAGUGCAAUGGCAUAAGCCAGCUUGACUGCGAGCGUGACGGCGCGAGCAGGUGCGAAAGCAGGUCAUAGUGAUCCGGUGGUUCUGAAUGGAAGGGCCAUCGCUCAACGGAUAAAAGGUACUCCGGGGAUAACAGGCUGAUACCGCCCAAGAGUUCAUAUCGACGGCGGUGUUUGGCACCUCGAUGUCGGCUCAUCACAUCCUGGGGCUGAAGUAGGUCCCAAGGGUAUGGCUGUUCGCCAUUUAAAGUGGUACGCGAGCUGGGUUUAGAACGUCGUGAGACAGUUCGGUCCCUAUCUGCCGUGGGCGCUGGAGAACUGAGGGGGGCUGCUCCUAGUACGAGAGGACCGGAGUGGACGCAUCACUGGUGUUCGGGUUGUCAUGCCAAUGGCACUGCCCGGUAGCUAAAUGCGGAAGAGAUAAGUGCUGAAAGCAUCUAAGCACGAAACUUGCCCCGAGAUGAGUUCUCCCUGACUCCUUGAGAGUCCUGAAGGAACGUUGAAG
rnacentral:rRNA from 1 species